AAUGAGAAUAAUGAUCUGGAGAACUAUGCUACAGUAUCCUUAAAGGCUUAUUCUGGCCAGCGGCUGUCUGAGCCAGUGAGAGUACCAGGGACACCAGAAAUAUUUGAUCGGUCAUACAUACUGGAAAAAAUCACUGAUGGUGUAAAAAUUCCAAACUGUGAUGAGGUGAAUCUACUGGAGUCAUCGAUUCAAAGAGCUACAGAUAUAGAGAAAAUUUUGCUUAGUCUUCCAGCAUCAUUUGAUAGGUUUCCAUUAUGGAUCUCUUAUAACAGCACCCCACAAGGUUGCAACUUUCAGAUUGAACAGAAGAAAACAUUUUCAGACAUGUUUGAGGAUGUCAAAGAGUACAGUCACUUGAUUGUCACACCACCCCUGCAACUGGCAAAUAUGGGAAUAGAGGGACCUCUGCUGGUGUAUCCCAGUGAAGAUAAUCUAGGUGUUUACUUGAACAAAAACAAGGCAGACCGGUAUGAGAUUAAGGUUUUCGACUGUCUUUCUGGAAAAGAGACCACAAAAAAUGUGAAUGAUCUGGCUAGAAUACUCAAUGAUACCAGAACUGACAACAUUGUUGAAGUCAGUAAAACCCCUAAAGAGGCAGUUGUGGUGCUUUUUGAUUCAAGUUCUUCAAUGAUGGAAGAAUGUUAUGACACCGCAAGUCAAAUGAAGCGCAUUGAUGCUGUCAAGCAAAUCUUUGACAGCUUUGCAAACCGAAGCAUGUCAUAUGAUUUUCAACAUGUCAUCUGCCUUGUGAUGUUU
rnacentral:lncRNA from 1 species